rnacentral:rRNA from 1 species
AAUGAACGCUGGCGGCAGGCCUAAAACAUGCAAGUCGAACGCCUUAGCAAUAGGGAAUGGCGCACGGGUGAGUAACAGGUGGGAAUAUGCCUUUUGGUACGGAACAACGUUUGGAAACGAACGUUAAUACCGUAUGGUCCCUUCGGGGCAAAGAUUUAUCGCCAAAAGAUUAGCCCGUACUAGCUUAGCCAGUUGGUAAGGUAAGGGCUUACCAAGGCGAAGAUCUAGAGCCGUUCUGAGAGGAAGAUCAGCCACACCGGGACUGAGACACGGCCCAGACUCCUACGGGAGGCAGCAGUUAGGACUAUUGGUCAAUGGGCGCAAGCCUGAUCCAGCCAUGCCGCGUGAGUGAUGAAGGCCUUCGGGUUGUAAAGCUCUUUAGCCGACGAAUAUAAUGACUGUAGUCGGAGAAUAAGCCCCGGCUAACUUCGUGCCAGCCGCCGCCGUAAGAC